rnacentral:rRNA from 1 species
GAGUUUGAUCAUGGCUCAGAUUGAACGCUGGCGGCAUGCCUUACACAUGCAAGUCGAACGGCAGCAUGAUCUAGCUUGCUAGAUUGAUGGCGAGUGGCGAACGGGUGAGUAAUACAUCGGAACGUGCCCUGUAGUGGGGGAUAACUAGUCGAAAGAUUAGCUAAUACCGCAUACGACCUGAGGGUGAAAGUGGGGGACCGCAAGGCCUCAUGCUAUAGGAGCGGCCGAUGUCUGAUUAGCUAGUUGGUGGGGUAAAGGCCCACCAAGGCGACGAUCAGUAGCUGGUCUGAGAGGACGAUCAGCCACACUGGGACUGAGACACGGCCCAGACUCCUACGGGAGGCAGCAGUGGGGAAUUUGGACAAUGGGCGAAAGCCUGAUCCAGCAAUGCCGCGUGUGUGAAG